rnacentral:rRNA from 1 species
CAGUAGCCACGGGAACACGAGGGGGGCAAGCGUUGUUCGGAAUUAUUGGGCGUAAAGGGCGCGUAGGCGGUUUGACAAGUUUCAUGUGAAAUCUAUGGGCUCAACCCAUAGUCUGCGUGGAAAACUGUCGGGCUUGAGUAUGGGAGAGGUGAGUGGAAUUUCCGGUGUAGCGGUGAAAUGCGUAGAUAUCGGAAGGAACACCUGUGGCGAAAGCGGCUCACUGGACCAUUACUGACGCUGAUGCACGAAAGCUAGGGGAGCAAACAGGAUUAGAUACCCGCGUAGUCCCUGUCUCUUAUAC